ACGGGGUGCAGCAGGCGCGAAAACUUCGCACUGUGCGAAAGCACGACGAGGGAAUCCCAAGUGCUGGCUCGUAAGAGUCAGCUGUUUCUUUGUCUAAAAAACAGAGAGAGUAAGGGCUGGGUAAGACGGGCGCCAGCCGCCGCGGUAAUACCUGCAGCCCAAGUGGUGGCCGCUAUUAUUGGGCCUAAAACGUCCGUAGCCGGUUCUAUAAAUGCCUGGGUAAAUCGUACGGCUUAACCGUACGAAUUCCGGGUAGACUGUUCAACUUGAGACCGGGAGAAGCUAGAGGUACUCCUGGGGUAGAGGUGAAAUUCUGUAAUCCUAGGGGGACCACCAGUGGCGAAGGCGUCUAGCUAGAACGGGUUUGACGGUGAGGGACGAAGCCCUGGGGCGCAAACGGGAUUAGAUACCCCGGUAGUCCAGGGUGUAAACGCUGCUUGCUUGAUGUUAGUCGGGCUUCGAGCCCGGUUAGUGUCGGAGAGAAGUUGUUAAGCAAGCUGCCUGGGAAGUACGGCCGCAAGACUGAAACUUAAAGGAAUUGGCGGGGGAGCAC
rnacentral:rRNA from 1 species